GACGAACGCUGGCGGCGUGCUUAACACAUGCAAGUCGAACGGUGAAGCGCCUUCCUUUUUGGUGGGUGUGGAUGAGUGGCGAACGGGUGAGUAAUACGUGAGUAACCUGCCUCCUUCUUCUGGAUAACCGCAUGAAAGUGUGGCUACUACGGGAUAAUCUGGGUCUGUCGCAUGAUGGGUCUUGGAGAGAUAUUGUUUCGGUGGGGGAUGGGCUUGCGUCCUAUCAGCUUGUUGGUGGGGUGAUGGCCUACCAAGGCGGUGACGGGUAGCCGGCCUGAGAGAGUGAGCGGUCACACUGGGACUGAGACACGGGCCAGACUCCUACGGGAGAGAGCAGAGUGGAAAAUUGCACAAUGGGCGCAAGACUGAUGCAGCGACGCCGCGUGAGGGAUGGAGGCCUUCGGGUUGUGAUCCUCUUUCGCCAUAGAGGCAGGACGGCCACGUUUGUUGGUGGGUUGAAGGUAGCUGGAGAAUAAGCGCCGGCUAACUACGUG
rnacentral:rRNA from 1 species